GGUGCUUGCACUGGUCAAUCUAGUGGCGAACGGGUGAGUAACACGUGGGUAACCUGCCCAUCAGAGGGGGAUAACAUCCGGAAACGGAUGCUAAAACCGCAUAGGUCUUCGAGCCGCAUGGCUUGAAGAGGAAAAGAGGCGCAAGCUUCUGCUGAUGGAUGGACCCGCGGUGCAUUAGCUAGUUGGUGAGGUAACGGCUCACCAAGGCCGUGAUGCAUAGCCGACCUGAGAGGGUGAUCGGCCACAUUGGGACUGAGACACGGCCCAAACUCCUACGGGAGGCAGCAGUAGGGAAUCUUCCGCAAUGGACGCAAGUCUGACGGAGCAACGCCGCGUGAGUGAAGAAGGUUUUCGGAUCGUAAAACUCUGUUGUUAGAGAAGAACAAGUGCUAGAGUAACUGUUAGCGCCUUGACGGUAUCUAACCAGAAAGCCACGGCUAACUACGUGCCAGCAGCCGCGGUAAUACGUAGGUGGCAAGCGUUGUCCGGAUUUAUUGGGCGUAAAGUGAGCGCAGGCGGUUCCUUAAGUCUGAUGUGAAAGCCUCCGGCUCAACCGGGGAGGGUCAUUGGAAACUGGGGAACUUGAGUGCAGAAGAGGAGAGUGGAAUUCCAUGUGUAGCGGUGAAAUGCGUAGAUAUAUGGAGGAACACCAGUGGCGAAGGCGACUCUCUGGUCUGUAACUGACGCUGAG
rnacentral:rRNA from 1 species